ensembl:lncRNA
GUUUGCAGUAUUUUUACCUUUACUGUGCAAAAGUCACCAUCAAGCUUCCUUAAGCACAAAAGAGGUUCACUAUGAACUACGGCAUCUACAGCAAUCAGCCUUACCUAGCUAUCGCUGCUAUGCAGCUAUUGGGAUACAAAACCAGAGGCCUGAUCCAGCAACCCCUACAUAUCAUUUCCUUUUUUUCUUUGCAUUGCAGCUAUACUGGAUGUGCAGAGACUUCUAGGCACUUAGUCAGGUAGGCGCUUAAUGGGGUAUUCAAAAUUCAAACACCUAAACAAUGUCAAGAACUUGGUUUGUAAAAGCCACAGCUAUAUGCUACGCUAACAUAUGAAUAGUCAGUGGCACUCAGUGCAAUCACACAGCAUAAAUAACAGUCACAGUCAUACAAAGGUUUGCAGGCACGGGCCCACGCCUGAGGUUAAUUUAGAGCAGAUAGCUAGCAAGCAGGGAGUUUGCUCCUUCCUUUUACAAGGAUAGCACAAAACCAAGGCAAAUCUACAAAUUUAAUAUGAAUUCUGCACGGUAGAAAUGCUAAGUGCUCCAAACACUUUCUGUUAGCAAAUACCCUGCUCACCAGUGAACGUGGGGCAGCUGUAACCAUUGGUUCAGCUGCUUUUUCACAAUAUGCAAUGGUGUAUUCUUGCAGGCAUCCCUGUCCGCUCCCAUUAACUCACAUGCUUCAUUCUUCUCCCAAGGCACCUUUCCUCCACUCAGACUCCUGGAAGAGCUUGCAAAAGCAGAACAGCCACAUCAGAGUCAGGAUGUGGUCAGAAGCUAAUCUGCCACACAGUGGGCAACCAACCACCUUUCUCCCCAAGCACAAGCAACCAGCCUGCCUGAAGGAAGGGCUUUUUGUCCUGGAAACUCUAUUUGCAGGGCUUAGAGCUACGUGCGGAUGCUCAUAAGCGGUGCAACAGGGGAACAGCUCCAUGGCACAGCAGCAAUCCAUUUACAGCCAUCUACUGCCCAUGGUGUCCUGAAACCCAUUUCUGUAAUAGGCUAACUUACAAGCACCUGAGGAUUGAGUAAGAGUCAGCUUGUGACACACUGAAUGCCGAAGGUUGCCGAGCAGGGACUGAAGUUGCUGCACUUCUGUUAUUUAGAUAUUCCAGAGUUGCUGCAUCUUCCAGGGUUCAGCUGUAAGGCAAAUGUGUGGGACAAGAGCAUCAGUGGGUAGCGCAAAAGGCACAGCGGCCUUAACUGAAGGGAAGGAAUAAGCAUGAUAUAUUUAAUCAAUAACUCGCAGCUCAUAAGCCCUGCAUCAGCAAGUCAGGUGCUUUUCAGUCCAAGAAACCACAAAUGCAUUGUCAUGUUAGUGCUGGCAUCAGGGCACGAAUGUUAGUCCCAGAGUUGAAAAUAAUUCAUCUGGUAACACUGAACUCCAAUAGAGAAUCCAAGAGUGAUAAAAUUCAGAUUUUUCCACGCUGCCCAUUAGGCUUUAUCAAAGAAGAUGUAGGGACGUUGAUAAGUUGCCUUACCUAGAUCUGAGUUUAUUCCAUAUCAAGGUCUCAGCCAAAAUAAAACAAGACUAUGAGGUGCUGAUUUCCACAGUCUGACAAUAUGAACUUUGCUUUUUCAGACACCCUUAUUUGCUUCCCCUAGCUCACCUCAAAACAUAAGCGCCUAAAUAUGAUUUACUGCUUUUCUCUUUAGCGCUGUUUCCUCGAUUCAUGGCCCAGGGAUAUUGGGAUAGAGCCUGAAAAGCUAACAGCACCCUCUCUUUAUGUACAACUAUUCUUUUCCACCCAGCCACCCCUCCCCGAGACUGCUGAACACAAAUAGCUUGUAGGAAUCAUUUAGUCUGUAGCUGAAGCACAGACCCUGAGCCAGCAGAUAUAUAACACUGUAGGAGCAUCCGUUCGAUCCGUUAAAUUAAAGAACCGAAUCCAGCCAACAGCUAUGCCCAGCAAGCUCUGGCUUUUCAGAGAGGCCACCCAGGGCCUUUUGCCGUAAAAGUCUGAAAGGGAAGAUGAUCAUUUUACCCUUGCUGCAGUGUCUGAGUCAUUACUGAGUUGGAAGUGACUGGUAAAAAAAAAAGAAAAGCCUUUUUUUGGUGAGAUGAGAAAGUUGGCAGCCAAGCAGGCACAGCACUGGCUGUCUCACUGCCAGGACUGUGACAGAGCUGACCUGCCCGGGUGCCAGCAGGGAGGUGGGAGCACAGCGUGUCAGUGCCCACAAGGAGCUCAGCUAUGCGGAGAUGGGAGAAGAAAAGCUUGGAGGGGCAGCCCCAGCACUGAUAAUCAAUAAACAGUGCAAACAUGUAUUGCCUAAUAGUGUCAUAGGAACAUCUGCUGCUUACCUGCAGUGAUGUUUCACUGUCAUUACCGCAGACGAGGCACUCGCCAGGGACACACUGCCUCUGGCUCCUCUGCAUUCAGUUCUACUACAUCCCUUUGUCUUUGGCCAAGACCUCUAUCACCUUAUCAUCGCCAUCACUGAGCUGAGAGUCAUCGACAUAGAUCCUGCUCUGAAUUGCACUGGAUUUAACCCGGAAUUUGUCCUUGUGGCUUCUUACUGGCCUAGCACUGAUCUAAUUAAAUUACCUUUCCUAUUAAAGAGAUGAUCAAAUGCUUGGGCCAGAGUUGUCAGUGCAAAUACAGAACUUUGACCAAUUCUUCUCGCCUCCUGGAAAGACUUCUCUUUAACAGGAGCAUUAACACCAGAGCAAUUACAUAUACUUCAUUUACCUUGGGACCAGGCUCCUCUGUAAAAGAAGGAAUGGCCUGAAAAGUACGGGAAAAGGUUCUUUACGCUCCACCCUCCUCCAAAUCUUUUUGUGGGAAACUCAACUGUGUUUUGAAUGCUAAAAUUCACAGAUUUAAAAAUACUUAUUUUCAAGGAAUGUUGCCAUGGAAACCCUUAUCUUCUCUCCUUCCCCACCCUCCAUAUGUGAGGAACAUUUUCAUCAUCUUUUUUUUCCCCUGUGUGUGGUAGUUCCUCUUCUCCGUCUGCUGCCACCAAAAACCUGGCAUUGAAUCUUAAGAGGUGUCAAACAGGCCUUUUGUUCAGUUGAAGACUGAUUGCUAAAAAACAGUCCUGAGCUCAACUACAGAGAGAUGCCAAAGCGGGCGCACAUUCUCAUGCUACAGAAAAAGAUGGCAGAAGUAUUUUCCAGCAAUGUUCUGCUUCAGACAAGUGGAAAGUAGCAACGAGCUGCCACCGUAACUACAGCAGUUUCACUUCUUGGUGGCAUGACCCACUAGUGAUGAACAUUUGCGUUCUCUUCACAGAUCUUUUUUCUCCUUUCCUCUCACUCUUGAUAAAAUGGUUAUGGAAAUGGGUGAAGUCCUGUAUGCUCUAAGUUCUUUCAUCGAAGUACUGCUCUACCCACUUCCAUUUGCCCUACAAAAGGAUCCAAGCACACAAAGUAAGCCAGUAAUCCGCAGACUUCACUCUGCUGACCAGGAUACAUCCAUAUCCAAGGGUGCCUGCCAGGAAGCCCUUCCCGUAGCAAGAGUAGCAACUUUGGGAAGGUUGGCCAUGGCCCUAGUGAGAGGCGAGACCUCCUGUUUUCAGUGAGAACGCACACAGCACCUGAGAUAGUAGGAUGGCAACACCAGGAAACUGUGGGUCAAGUAGUACCAAAAUGUUGAUGAAUUAACUACACAGUGAGAAAGAUAUGCAGUCCCAUUUUUGCAUUGCCAGCAUCCCCUGGUUCAUGUAAUCGGCUAAUGGGGGAGCUGGCAAAAGAACAGCUCCAAGCUACUUUAAAUCAGCAAAAGUCCACUCUGUCCAACAACCAACACAUUUGCAGCAAACAGGACAGAAGUUGCAAAGACCACCCUUUCCAUUCAAUGGCAGAAAAUAAAAUGUACAGCCCUCAGCCCUGCACUGCAUGCCACUGCCAUUACCAGCAAGUCCUUAAAAUGCUGGGAAAAGGAGACAGAUAUUACUACUUUGCAAUAACAGCUCUACAUGCAGCCCAGGUUAAUUAAAACCUAGACGUAACGCCACUCAUGGUUAUUUUGGAGGCAGUGGGAGGCUAGCUCAACAAGCUGUCUACUCCACAAAGUUAGGUUAACUGUUAAACCAGUUGCCACCAAGAUGAGGGGCAGAAAUAUACACCUUUGUUAGCCACCACAAGAGUCAAUUUGCAAUGGCCUGACUGCUCCCAGCACCUGUGCUGGCUGCCUGCUUCUGAUAGCAGCAGGUUGCACAGGCACUGAGAUAUAUUUAGCCUCUUGCCUUCCAUUAAUUUGCAGCCUUCUGUUAAAGCUUGUUCUGCAGUAAUAGUCCAAGGAAUGAAAUAACAGCUUUGCUGUAUGCUCUUCAAAACCACCCAGUGGAAGUUGUGAAGUAGCUUUCUGGUGUAGGGAUAUGAAGCAUAAAAAGCAAUAGUUCCCUGUAUUAUAUAUGUAUGUACACACAUUAUAAAUUUCUGUUGAGAUUUCAAACCCCGAUUCCUGACAAAUGAAGUUAAUUUGAUCCAAAGGCUCAGAAGUUACCUCUUGUAAGAGGAGGAGAAAGGGAGAAAAUGGUCAGAUGUAAGGGGGGUGAGAGGCAAACUGGCUACAUCUUCCUUAGAAAAUGAGGCCAAAAAAGUACCACCUGACAGUGUGGGUAGUAGGGGAGAAAUGGAAGUAAACCAGUACUUCAAGCUUCCAGCUGGAACACACUAAAACUCCAUGAGAAAAUUCUGAUCCAUGAACAUUCCCAUAGGAAGAAGGGGCUUUGUUGUAC